rnacentral:lncRNA from 1 species
GAUUUACUACGGUUUUGUGUGUUUUGGAAGCUUCAGAAAUGACAAUACCCAACAUCACUACACAGCAUGCAAGAGCCAGAUUAAAACACAAACCUACUCCGACUGUGUUUGAAUGAAGAAAGCAUAAACACAGAGGAUGGCUUGAAGGUGCCCAGCAGGAUUUCUGCAUAUCUGCCCCAUUUCCUCUGCAGCAUGACAUCUAUAUCCACCGGCUCAUCGUCUAUGAAGAUCUGCUGCAUGCAGCCGUGGAAGCGAGACAGCUUGGUCACACAGCGAGCCGUGUUAUUGGUUUUAGGACAACCUGCAGCACAACAGACAUGAAAUGAUCUAUUUUCAAUCUGUAUUUCAGCUAUGCAAUUGCAAGGCAAUGAGAGCGUUCUCUUUUUUAUAGAUUAUGACAUUAUAGAUGUGACUAUUUGUGAAUAGAAACAUACACACUUUUGUAAAACUGUCAUUUGCAGCCUGUUUUUGGUGCAGUUUUAGAGAAUUGUGGCACCCAGUAUAUUUCAACUGAAAUCAAAGAACAAACUGGUGUGAUAUCAUUUUAAAUAAACC